rnacentral:rRNA from 1 species
GAUGAACGCUGGCGGCGUGCCUAAUACAUGCAAGUCGAGCGAACGGACGAGAAGCUUGCUUCUCUGAUGUUAGCGGCGGACGGGUGAGUAACACGUGGAUAACCUACCUAUAAGACUGGGAUAACUUCGGGAAACCGGAGCUAAUACCGGAUAAUAUUUUGAACCGCAUGGUUCAAAAGUGAAAGACGGUCUUGCUGUCACUUAUAGAUGGAUCCGCGCCGCAUUAGCUAGUUGGUAAGGUAACGGCUUACCAAGGCAACGAUGCAUAGCCGACCUGAGAGGGUGAUCGGCCACACUGGAACUGAGACACGGUCCAGACUCAUACGGGAGGCAGCAGUAGGGAAUCUUGCGCAAUGGGCGAAAGCCUGACGGAGCAACGCCGCGUGAGUGAUGAAGGUUGUCGGAUCGUAAAACUCUGUUAUUAGGGAAGAACAUAUGUGUAAGUAACUGUACACAUCUUGACGGUACCUAAUCAGAAAGCCACGGCUAACUACGUG